rnacentral:rRNA from 1 species
GAUGAACGCUGGCGGCGUGCCUAAUACAUGCAAGUCGAGCGAACGGACGAGAAGCUUGCUUCUCUGAUGUUAGCGGCGGACGGGUGAGUAACACGUGGAUAACCUACCUAUAAGACUGGGAUAACUUCGGGAAACCGGAGCUAAUACCGGAUAAUAUUUUGAACCGCAUGGUUCAAAAGUAAAAGACGGUCUUGCUGUCACUUAUAGAUGGAUCCGCGCUGCAUUAGCUAGUUGGUAAGGUAACGGCUUACCAAGGCAACGAUGCAUAGCCGACCUGAGAGGAGGACGAGCCACACUGGAACUGAGACACGGUCCAGACUCCUACGGGAGGCAGCAGUGGGGAAUCUUGCACAAUGGGCGAAGGCCUGAUGCAGCCAUGCCGCGUGGAUGAAGAAGGUCUUCGGGUUGUAAAGUUCUUUUAGCGGGGAGGAAGAGAGUAAAGUUAAUACCUGCCCUCCUUGACGUUACCUAAAAAAAAAGCACCGGCUAACUCCGUG